UACGUAGGGUGCAAGCGUUGUCCGGAAUUAUUGGGCGUAAAGAGCUCGUAGGCGGUCUGUCGCGUCGGCUGUGAAAACUCGGGGCUCAACUCCGAGCUUGCAGUCGAUACGGGCAGGCUAGAGUUCGGCAGGGGAGACUGGAAUUCCUGGUGUAGCGGUGGAAUGCGCAGAUAUCAGGAGGAACACCGGUGGCGAAGGCGGGUCUCUGGGCCAUUACUGACGCUGAGGAGCGAAAGCGUGGGGGAGCGAACAGG
rnacentral:rRNA from 1 species